rnacentral:lncRNA from 1 species
UGAAAUAUGAGCAACUCAUUUAGGAAAGAAUCUUGACAGGCAAAGGGGUCCCAACUUAUUAGAGUGAUAUGUCUAUGUAAAAUAACUAAUUUUGGACUAAAUAUAUUUCACAUCUUUUUUAAGUUGAUGAUAAUUGUCAAAUCACUAAAUUAUUUGAUCUAGUGAUGUAGAAUAUGUGAUGUCACUCAUAUUCAAGUGAUGGAGUGGUGGAGGUUUGAAUCGUAGAAUCCACACAUAUUUAUCAAGGUUUUAAAAGUGCUAGAUCAUUAUAGUAUUGAAUGACGCACAAAAUAUUAUAUUGUCUUAACUUUUAGUAAAAGUGGUAAAAGUAUUUUAGGUAAAGGCGUGAGGUGCUCUAAGCCCUAUUUGGCCCAAAACGAAUUAGAGGUCAAAGCUGAGGUAUUAAGUUGUUAAUACCAUUAAUUUUACUGUGUAUUUAUAAGGAAAAUAGUUGAAAACUGGUAUGAAAGCUCUUAUGAGACUAGAAGUAGCUAG